rnacentral:rRNA from 1 species
CCUACGGGUGGCAGCAGUGAGGAAUAUUGGUCAAUGGCCGGAAGGCUGAACCAGCCAAGCCGCGUGAAGGACGAAGGUCCCAAGCAUUGUAAACUUCUUUUGUCAAGGGACAAAAUCCGGCUCGUGAGCCUGACCGAGGGUACUUCAAGAAUAAGCAUCGGCUAACUCCGUGCCAGCAGCCGCGGUAAUCCGGAGGUUCCGAGCGUUAUCCGGCUUUAUUGGGUUUAAAGGGUGCGUAGGCGGGCUGUUAAGUCAGAGGUAAAAGCCCGGGGCUAAACCCUGGACAGCCGUUGAAACUGGGGGUCUUGAGAGCGGGAGAGGUAAGCGGAAUUCGUAGUGUAGCGGUGAAAUGCGUAGAUAUUGGGAAGAACACCAAUUGCGAAGGCAGCAUACUGGAGGGUAUCUGACGCUGAGGCACGAAAGCGUGGGGAGCGAACAGGAUUAGAUACCCGUGUAGUC